CCUACGGGAGGCAGCAGUGAGGAAUAUUGGUCAAUGGACGAGAGUCUGAACCAGCCAAGUAGCGUGAAGGAUGACUGCCCUAUGGGUUGUAAACUUCUUUUAUAUGGGAAUAAAAUGUUCCACGUGUGGGAUUUUGUAUGUACCAUAUGAAUAAGGAUCGGCUAACUCCGUGCCAGCAGCCGCGGUAAUACGGAGGAUCCGAGCGUUAUCCGGAUUUAUUGGGUUUAAAGGGAGCGUAGGUGGAUUGUUAAGUCAGUUGUGAAAGUUUGCGGCUGAACCGUAAAAUUGCAGUUGAAACUGGCAGUCUUGAGUACAGUAGAGGUGGGCGGAAUUCGUGGUGUAGCGGUGAAAUGCGUAGAUAUCACGAAGAACUCCGAUUGCGAAGGCAGCUCACUGGACUGCAACUGACACUGAGGCUCGAAAGUGUGGGGAUCAAACAGGAUUAGAUACCCGAGUAGUC
rnacentral:rRNA from 1 species